AACGUACGCUGGCGGCACGCCUAACACAUGCAAGUCGAACGAAGUAGCAAUACUUAGUGGCAGACGGGUGAGUAACAUGUGGGUAUCUGCCCUUUGGCCUGGAAUAACACGAGGAAACUUGUGCUAAUACCGGAUAAGUCUUUACGGAGAAAGCUUUAUGCACCAUUGGAUGAGCCCGCACUUGAUUAGUUUGUUGGUGGGGUAAUGGCCUACCAAGACUGUGAUCAAUAGCUGAUUUGAGAGGAUGAUCAGCCACAUUGGGACUGAGACACGGCCCAAACUCCUACGGGAGGCAGCAGUGGGGAAUCUUGCACAAUGGAGGAAACUCUGAUGCAGCGAUGCCGCGUGAGUGAAGAAGGCCCUUGGGUUGUAAAGCUCUUUCGUCGGGGAAGAAAAUGACUGUACCCGAAUAAGAAGGUCCGGCUAACUUCGUGCCAGCAGCCGCGGUAAUACGAAGGGACCUAGCGUAGUUCGGAAUUACUGGGCUUAAAGAGUUCGUAGGUGGUUGAAAAAGUUAGUGGUGAAAUCCCAGAGCUUAACUCUGGAACUGCCAUUAAAACUUUUCAGCUAGAGUAUGAUAGAGGAAAGCAGAAUUUCUAGUGUAGAGGUGAAAUUCGUAGAUAUUAGAAAGAAUACCAAUUGCGAAGGCAGCUUUCUGGAUCAUUACUGACACUGAGGAACGAAAGCAUGGGUAGCGAAGAGGAUUAGAUACCCUCGUAGUCCAUGCCGUAAACGAUGUGUGUUAGACGUUGGAAAUUUAUUUUCAGUGUCGCAGCGAAAGCGAUAAACACACCGCCUGGGGAGUACGACCGCAAGGUUAAAACUCAAAUGAAUUGACGGGGACCCGCACAAGUAGUGGAGCAUGUGGUUUAAUUCGAAGAUACGCGCAGAACCUUACCAACACUUGACAUGUUCGUCGCGACUCUAAGAGAUUAGAGUUUUCGGUUCGGCCGGACGAAACACAGGUGCUGCAUGGCUGUCGUCAGCUCGUGUCGUGAGAUGUUGGGUUAAGUCCCGCAACGAGCGCAACCCUCACUUUUAGUUGCCAUCAUUAAGUCGGGCACUCUGAAAGAACUGCCAGUGAUAAGCUGGAGGAAGGUGGGGAUGACGUCAAGUCCUCAUGGCCCUUACGUGUUGGGCUACACACGUGCUACAAUGGUAUCUACAACAGGAAGCAAGACUGCGAGGUCAAGCAAAUCCUUAAAAGAUACCUCAGUUCGGAUUGCACCCUGCAACUCGAGUGCAUGAAGCUGGAAUUACUAGUAAUCGUGGAUCAGCGUGCCACGGUGAAUGCGUUCCCGGGUCU
rnacentral:rRNA from 1 species